rnacentral:tRNA from 1 species
AUUUAAGUAGUUUAAUUAAAACAUUGAUUUGUGGUAUCAAAAAUAUAUCAUGUUUAUCUUAAAUU